GCCCGAUUCAGUAGGACAUUUAAUAAAAUUGGAACUACACAGAGUAGAUGAGCAUGGUCCCUGUGCAAGGAUAAUAGAUAAAUCCAUCAUAUGUUCCCCAAAUUA